GGACACUAUAAUCACCAGAACAACUAUAGCUUAAUGUAGUUGUUCUGGUGAGUAUAAUCAUUGCCUUCAGGCAUUUUUCAUGUAAACACUGCCUUUUCAGAGACACCUCAGAUACUCCUCAGAUGGCCACUGGAGGUACUUCCUGGCUCCUACUGUGCAGCCCUGCCAUUCAGUAUCCCAACGUUCUGCAUGGAGACGCUGAAUUUUCAGCUUGAAACACUGCACAUCCAGACUAAUUAGCACUUUUGUGCCAGGGGCAAGUUGCACCCCCAGGACACUAGACAUUGGGAGCCCAG